UACGUAGGGGGCAAGCGUUGUCCGGAUUUAUUGGGCGUAAAGAGCGUGUAGGCGGCCAGGUAGGUCCGCUGUGAAAACUCGGGGCUCAACCUCGAGAUGUCGGCGGAAACCAUCUGGCUAGAGUCCGGAAGAGGAGAGUGGAAUUCCUGGUGUAGCGGUGAAAUGCGCAGAUAUCAGGAAGAACACCCGUGGCGAAGGCGGCUCUCUGGGACGGUACUGACGCUGAGACGCGAAAGCGUGGGGAGCGAACAGG
rnacentral:rRNA from 1 species